rnacentral:rRNA from 1 species
GACAGAGGGUGCAAACGUUGUUCGGAAUUACUGGGCGUAAAGCGCGUGUAGGCGGUCGUGCAAGUCGGGUGUGAAAGCCCGGGGCUCAACCCCGGAAGUGCAUUCGAUACUGCAUGGCUAGAGUACCGGAGAGGGUGGUGGAACUCUGGGUGUAGAGGUGAAAUUCGUAGAUAUCCAGAAGAACACCGGUGGCGAAGGCGGCCACCUGGACGGAUACUGACGCUGAGACGCGAAAGCGUGGGGAGCAAACAGG